UCCGAGUUGACCCCGGCAGUCUCCUAUGAGUCCCCACCAUCACGUGCUGGCAACAUAGAACGAGGGUUGCGCUCGUUGCGGGACUUAACCCAACAUCUCACGACACGAGCUGACGACAACCAUGCACCACCUGUGCACGACCCGAUAAAGGACCUCACAUCUCUGUGAGAUUUCCGUGCAUGUCAAGCCUAGGUAAGGUUCUUCGCGUUGCAUCGAAUUAAUCCACAUGCUCCGCCGCUUGUGCGGGCCCCCGUCAAUUCCUUUGAGUUUUAACCUUGCGGUCGUAAUCCCCAGGCGGUUCACUUAAUGCGUUAGCUGCGGCACCGAGGCAAAGCCCCAACACCUAGUGAACAUCGUUUAUGGCCAAGACUAC
rnacentral:misc_RNA from 1 species